ACUGGAGUUUGGUUCCUUGUCACCAAACCUUCUUGCAUCGGGUGCUGAAGACUUUACUAAGGUGGGAUUCUUCAAUUAUUGAGAAAAAGGCCCAAAAUAAAAUGAACAUGUUGUUACAGAAGAUGAAGCAGUUUCUACCAACUACUGUUAUGCUUUUAAUUAUCAAAUUCCAGCAUUGGUAACUUGUGUGCUAUAUAUUUGGAGACUUUCACCUGUUGGAGGUUCUGCCCGCAAAAGAGCUUAGGAAGAUGAUGAGAAUUCAAGCUCUCUUGUCACAAUUUAUUGCCAAAAUGGGAGGAGAGUUAAUGUUAUUCCAGUGUGGGCGUAUCGUUCCCAAACGCUCAGGUACUUAUAUCUCCGAUGGGGUAUGGACUUGUCAAAACUUGUGGUUUUUAUUGGUGAAAAUGGAGACACAGGUUAUGAAGGAAAUAUUGGUGGCGUUCACAAGCCUAUUAUACUUAAAGGAGUCAGUAAUGCUAUUAACGACCAACAUCAUGCCAACAGAAUCCACCCGCUUUCAGACGUAUGGUGCUCUGUUUAUUGUUACUAUUUUUUAUUUACAUUAGAUGGUUGUCUUUUGUUUUCAUUAAACAUGAGUGUCGGUAUCAUUUCAAUACUGUAACCAAGCGAACAAUAUUAGAUAAGGUUUGACUUAUGUUUUGUCCCAAAUUCUCGACUCCGCCGCAACGCGCGGG